GAUGAACGCUGGCGGCGUGCCUAAUACAUGCAAGUCGAGCGAACAGACGAGGAGCUUGCUCCUCUGACGUUAGCGGCGGACGGGUGAGUAACACGUGGAUAACCUACCUAUAAGACUGGGAUAACUUCGGGAAACCGGAGCUAAUACCGGAUAAUAUAUUGAACCGCAUGGUUCAAUAGUGAAAGACGGUUUUGCUGUCACUUAUAGAUGGAUCCGCGCCGCAUUAGCUAGUUGGUAAGGUAACGGCUUACCAAGGCAACGAUGCGUAGCCGACCUGGGAGGGUGAUCGGCCACACUGGAACUGAGACACGGUCCAGACUCCUACGGGAGGCAGCAGUAGGGAAUCUUCCGCAAUGGGCGAAAGCUUGACGGAGCAACGCCGCGUGAGUGAUGAAGGUCUUCGGAUCGUAAAACUCUGUUAUUAGGGAAGAACAAAUGUGUAAGUAACUAUGCACGUCUUGACGGUACCUAAUCAGAAAGCCACGGCUAACUACGUG
rnacentral:rRNA from 1 species